rnacentral:rRNA from 1 species
AUUGAACGCUGGCGGCAGGCUUAACGCAUGCAAGUCGAGCGGAGAUGAGGUGCUUGCACCUUAUCUUAGCGGCGGACGGGUGAGUAAUGCUUAGGAAUCUGCCAUUUAGUGGGGGACAACAUUCCGAAAGGAAUGCUAAUACCGCAUACGUCCUACGGGAGAAAGCAGGGGAUCUUCGGACCUUGCGCUAAAUGAUGAGCCUAAGUCGGAUUAGCUAGUUGGUGGGGUAAAGGCCUACCAAGGCGACGAUCUGUAGCGGGUCUGAGAGGAUGAUCCGCCACACUGGGACUGAGACACGGACCAGACUCCUACGGGAGGCAGCAGAGGGGAAUAUUGGACAAUGGGCGGAAGCCUGAUCCAGCCAUGCCGCGUGUGUGAAGAAGGCCUUUUGGUUGUAAAGCACUUUAAGCGAGGAGGAGGCUGCCUGGAUUAAUACUCUGGGAUAGUGGACGUUACUCGCAGAAUAAGCACCGGCUAACUCUGUGCCAGCCGCCGCCGUAAAAC